CAGUCGCCGCGGGAAUACGAAGGGGGCUAGCGUUGUUCGGAUUUACUGGGCGUAAAGGGCGCGUAGGCGGACUGAUAAGUCAGGGGUGAAAUCCCAAGGCUCAACCUUGGAACUGCCUUUGAUACUGUUUGUCUUGAGUUCGAGAGAGGUAAGUGGAACUGCGAGUGUAGAGGUGAAAUUCGUAGAUAUUCGCAAGAACACCAGUGGCGAAGGCGGCUUACUGGCUCGAAACUGACGCUGAGGCGCGAAAGCGUGGGGAGCAAACAGGAUUAGAUACCCCCGUAGUCCAUGUCUCUUAUAC
rnacentral:rRNA from 1 species